ensembl:lncRNA
CGCCGCCACUCACCCGCGCGCCGGCCGAGCCGAGCCGCCGCCGCCACCACCGGGCCGGGCCGGGUCGGGCCUGCGCGCCCCGCGCUACACAAAGUGACGGCCCCAGAGCUGCGCGGCGGCGGCGCGUGGGCACCGGAAGUGCCGCCGCCGGCCCCGCCCCGCCCGCGCACACGGGGGGGGCACUUCCGGUCACGCGGGGUCGAGCGCGGCUCCCGCAGGGGGCGUGCGUGGGGGCAAAGGAAGCUCCGCGCGUGCGGGGGAGCCUUUCGGCCCCGGCCCGCCCCGGGGGACUUCAGUGUCCCAUGCCUGGGGACCGCAGCGCCCUCUGACCCGAGACCCCAACCCCGGGGACCCCGGUGCCCCCUGCCCCGAGACCCCGGUCCCACCCCUGGGGACCCCAUCGCCCCCUGCCUCCAGACCCCAGCCACACCCCUGGGGGCCGCAGCGCCCCCUGCCCCGAGACCCCGGCCCCACCCUGAGGGACCCUGCUGCUCCACCCCUGGGCACCGCAGCUCCCGCUGCCCUGGAGACGCCGGCCCCACCCCUGGGGACCCCGGCGCCCUCUGCCCCUUGAGACGUGCGCGAGGUCCCGCGGCCCUGAGCGCGCGCGCCCCGUCCCGAAACCCGGCUCCCCUUCCUCAUCCGACCAUGAUUCAGGGAGCGGCUGCUGGCUGCCAGACCUGCCCUCGGCACCCUCCCCAGGCCCCACGACGAUGGAGGGAGGCGAUGACCCCCUACGGGGUCUCGUGGAGGCGUCCCUCUGGCCAGCGUGCUGUGAGACUCAGACGAGGUGGGGCGAUCCCUGGCCGCUGAUGGAUCGCCCAGACUGGAACCAGUGGGCCCGGGGUCCACAGCUCACCGGCCCUGCUUCCUGGGCCACUAGUGCGGGCAGGGCCAACGCUGGGUAAGCGUCGGGGAGGGUACCCCGGAAUGGGGGAGGACGAGGACUGAAGGAGCCAGUGGGCCGGGUACCUGAGUGAGUACAAUAAGGAGCGCGGAUCCCCGGGAGGGACGGGAUCAGGACGUGGGGAGGGUCCGCCUCUGGGAAGGGAAGGCAGAAGCCAUAGGUGGUCGCUGUCGGAGCUGUGAGAAGGUGAGGUCAGUGGGCUCAGGGGCCACCUGCGGCCCUCCCCCAAAUCUGUGUGCAUCCACCCCCAGGGAACCCAGCAGAGUCUGAUGGUGAGCUCUUGCUGCCACCGAGGUCGCGCCCUUUUUCAGCCUGGGUGCAGCCCCACUCAGGAAUGGUGUGGCCCCGCUCCUCCCCCAGCUCCCACCCUACGGAUACCAUUGCUCUUCUAUUUUCUGGAGUGUCCCCAGCCUUGGACCCUCAAGACAGGCAGCAACCUGGCUGGGCCCGGGGCAGGUUCACAGCUUCUCCCCUGCGGAACCUCAACCCCGACCUGGUGGACUUCUCAGGCCCACGGAGGACUCACUCCUCUGACCCGCAGAGGGCUGCAGCUCCCGCCCAAGCCAGCCUUGCCCAGCCCAAAGCGCCAGCCGCCUGCCACCUCCAACAUCUCGAUGAUUGUGUUUGGUUCCUGGUGUUUUAAAAACGGUUUAAAAUUAAUGACUAACACUUACAAAUUGAGAGUCUCUUGUAAAAAGAUUUGAAAAAUCAGAAGAUCUGGCAACACGGAGCCCGUGCUUUGCAGGGCGCCGGUCACAGGGGCUGCGAAGUGACCAGCCCCUGUGGAUGAGGCUGGACUGUGCCUCUCCCUUUAAUGCCCGCUUCUGCAUGGCGCCUCCUGUCUGGUCCUUUGAGUCUCUACGAUUUGGAGCCCCAGACGGUAUCUUAGACAGUUCUCUACCCUUCCCCCCAAAAUGGUUCCAAUAAGAGGAUCUGAAUGCAGGGUAACUAACAAGAGGAGGCCAGGUGAAGGCCAGUACCAGGAGUGGGGGCACCAGAGACUAGCCCCUGGGCCUGAAGGGGUGGGGCAGGGAUGGAGAGGGCUGGAGGAGUGGAGAUGGGGUCACCCGGUGGGAGCUGUGAUUGUGGGGGAGGAGUGUGACUACCCCGCCGCUCUCCCCCACCCCAUCCUGUCAGCACUGUCCACUGGCCAAUCCUCAUCCUAAUCUGGAGGCCAAGGGAGCCCAGGGGAUGUGGUCACAGCCAGAGCCUAGAGCCAGGUAGACAACAAUUGGGGGGCCAGGUGGGGACAGGGAAGCACCAACUCCGUCCCUGCCUUAGAACCUUCCACCUUGUCAGACAGGGACCCCACGUCACCCCAGCAUCUCCUCAGAUCUCCUCUUGGCCUGUCCCCACCUGAUACCUAACCCAGGACCCGGUUUCUUCCCCUCUCUUCUCUGCAGAGGUUUUCGAAGGCACCAGGCUCGCCCCUCAACAGGACCUGCCCUCCAUGAGGUUGUCUCUGCCCAAAUCUCCCCCUCAGCUGACUGCAGUCCUCCAGAGGCCAAGCAGAGAGCUGCUACCCGUGGGCCCCUUGGUUUCCUCCCCUCUCGAAGGGUCUCCUUCCCACAGCCCCUGGGAGCCUGUCUUUCCUCUGGUCCUGUGACAGGCAGAAUCCCCAAACCUCAUCCCGCCCAGGUCACUGAGUGAUACAGGCAUGCGGAGGCCCCACGCUCUGCCCAGUUCAGUGUCUCCCAGGUCAGUGUGAGGCUUGACCUCCCCACACCAGGUGUCCCCUCCCCUGUCCCACAGCUGUGACUUCAGGAGCAAGAUGCACUCAGGUAGACCACACACUGUUCUGUGAGAAUGAAACCCAAGCCGCUUGCUAGGAGCCCCAUAUCUGUGUUUAUUUUACAUCAAAUACAUAUGAUUCCCCGCUUUUGUGACCCCACCUGACCCCGUUCCUUCCGGGUCUGCUCUCCACCGGACCCGGGUUGCAUGCUUGAGUGUGGGCCUUGCCAACGGCCUCAGACUGGCUGAGCCUCUGCAGAUGACCCUCCCCUGGGCCCGACGUUGCCUUUGUACCUACUCGGGGUAGUGCUAGGCUGUCCCAAAUGGGCCACACCUGGGCCUCUCAAGUCCUAAAGUCAGCUGGCCUUGACCCUUCCAGCCACCUAAGUGCGGAGCUCCCAGGGUCAGGGCUGGCUGCCCCAGGCACCUGUGGGCUUGGCCCCUGAUGGGUGGGCCUCCCUUCACACGGUGCUGGAGAGCAGGGGAGCCUGGUUCAGCCUUGACUCUCCCUCUAUCCCUCCCCUUUACUCCCUCCUGCAGCCAUGUUCCGGAAAGUGCCGUGUGCUUGACUGCUUGGGUCUUGGGAAUCUCACAGUCCUGCCAAGGCCUGGCCACUGGCCCUCCCUGGCUGCCCCUUCCCGGGGGUUCUCAGGUCCUCAGCAACAUCCCUCACUCCCUCCGUGGCCAGCAGCCUGAUCCCUGCUUUUCCUCGGUUCUCAUCGGGGAUUCUUGAUCGGGUUCUAGAGGUUGGGAAGUCCAAGAUCAAGGCGUUGGCAGAUCCAUUGUCUGUGAUUUUCCAUCCGCUGACUUCCUCCCACCUGCUCCUUGGCUGUGAAUCCACACUCGUCCUUGCCGUAUGUGGAAUUGAGUCCAGUUCUAUUCUGAAGUCUCUUUUCCCCUAUUGCAUUAGAUCUUAAAUAAAAUCUGCUUUAGCCACUUUAAUAA